CCUCUCUCAGGAUUGCACCUGAGGUGUUUCCAGUACUCUGCCAGUCUCGCCUACAGGAGGGAGAGUGAAGCAGAGGCCUACCCAUUCCAUUCCUAGCUUGGCCAGUGGCUAGAGAGUGGAAGGCGUUCUGCCACAAGU